AUUGAACGCUGGCGGCAUGCCUUACACAUGCAAGUCGAACGGCAGCACGGACUUCGGUCUGGUGGCGAGUGGCGAACGGGUGAGUAAUAUAUCGGAACAUACCUUGUAGUGGGGGAUAACUAUCCGAAAGGAUAGCUAAUACCGCAUACGCUCUAUGGAGGAAAGCGGGGGAUCGUAAGACCUCGUGCUAUAAGAGUGGCCGAUAUCUGAUUAGCUAGUUGGUGAGGUAAAGGCUCACCAAGGCGACGAUCAGUAGCUGGUCUGAGAGGACGACCAGCCACACUGGAACUGAGACACGGUCCAGACUCCUACGGGAGGCAGCAGUGGGGAAUUUUGGACAAUGGGGGCAACCCUGAUCCAGCAAUGCCGCGUGAGUGAAGAAGGCCUUCGGGUUGUAAAGCUCUUUUGUCAGGGAAGAAACGGUUGUGGCUAAUAUCCAUGGCUAAUGACGGUACCUGAAGAAUAAGCACCGGCUAACUACGUGCCAGCCGCCGCAGUAACAC
rnacentral:rRNA from 1 species